rnacentral:rRNA from 1 species
AUGAACGCUGGCGGCGUGCCUAAUACAUGCACGUCGCGCGAACAGACGAGGAGCUUGCUCCUCUGACGUUAGCGGCGGACGGGUGAGUAACACGUGGAUAACCUACCUAUAAGACUGGGAUAACUUCGGGAAACCGGAGCUAAUACCGGAUAAUAUAUUGAACCGCAUGGUUCAAUAGUGAAAGACGGUUUUGCUGUCACUUAUAGAUGGAUCCGCGCCGCAUUAGCUAGUUGGUAAGGUAACGGCUUACCAAGGCGACGAUGCGUAGCCGACCUGAGAGGGUGAUCGCCCACACUGGAACUGAGACACGGUCCAGACUCCUACGGGAGGCAGCAGUAGGGAAUCUUCCGCAAUGGGCGAAAGCCUGACGGAGCAACGCCGCGUGAGUGAUGAAGGUCUUCGGAUCGUAAAACUCUGUUAUUAGGGAAGAACAAAUGUGUAAGUAACUAUGCACGUCUUGACGGUACCUAAUCAGAAAGCCACGGCUAACUACGUG